UAGAAGACAUGCAAGUCGAACGAGGUUAUAAUUGUAGUAAUACAAUUAUAGCUUAGUGGCGAACGGGUGCGUAACACGUGAGCAAUCUGCCGGGAAGUGUGGGAUAGCUCGCCGAAAGGCGAAUUAAUACCGCAUGUGGCUAGGGGUGACAUCACUCCGAAGCCAAAGUCGCAAGACGCUUCCUGAUGAGCUCGCGGCCUAUCAGCUAGUUGGUGAGGUAACGGCUCACCAAGGCAAUGACGGGUAGCUGGUCUGAGAGGACGACCAGCCACACUGGAACUGAGACACGGUCCAGACACCUACGGGUGGCAGCAGUCGAGAAUUUUUCACAAUGGGGGAAACCCUGAUGGAGCGACGCCGCGUGGAGGACGAAGGUCUUCGGAUUGUAAACUCCUGUCAUGCGGGAACAAGAAAGUGAUAGUACUGCAAGAGGAAGAGACGGCUAACUCUGUGCCAGCAGCCGCGGUAAUACAGAGGUCUCAAGCGUUGUUCGGAUUCAUUGGGCGUAAAGGGUGCGUAGGUGGCGUGGAAAGUUGAGUGUGAAAUCCUAGGGCUUAACCUUAGAACUGCACUCAAUACUCCCAUGCUAGAGGAAUGUAGAGGAGAGUGGAAUUCACGGUGUAGCAGUGAAAUGCGUAGAUAUCGUGAGGAAGACCAGUUGCGAAGGCGACUCUCUGGGCAUCUCCUGACACUGAGGCACGAAGGCUAGGGGAGCAAACGGGAUUAGAUACCCCGGUAGUCCUAGCAGUAAACGGUGCACGUUUGGUGUGGGCAGGCUCAGACCCUGUCCGUGCCGGAGCUAACGCGUUAAACGUGCCGCCUGGGAAGUACGGUCGCAAGAUUA
rnacentral:rRNA from 1 species